GCCAAGAGCAAACAACUGUUGAGAUUUCCUGGAGGAACCCGAGUAAGAAGGAGACGACGAAGAAGCGCCUUCCCUCUUCUCCUUGUGAACAGAAUUCGAAGAAGACGCGGUUUUCUUUGCUGCCAGAGCUUGCUCUGGCGUCCCGUACUUCCUCGGCCGACCUCGCUUCCUCCUGGCGGGCUCCGCUGGUGCAGUGGUGACUGCGGCCGAAGAUGGACCCACGGAGAGAGGGUAGACCAUAUGGGGCCCCCCACCACUAUCGGUAGUGGAAUUGGGAGGCGGUGGCAGAAGGCCAUUGGUCGGCGAGGGGGUAGUGGUGGUGGGAGUGGUGGUGGUGAAGUAGGAGCUGAGGUGGUGGUGCUGGCUAUCGUUGGGUUCCAUUUUGUAAAGAGCGAGAAGAGAAUUGUGAGAUAUUUUUUUUUAUUUUCUUUU
rnacentral:misc_RNA from 1 species